AUUGAACGCUGGCGGCAGGCCUAACACAUGCAAGUCGAGCGAGCGGCGGACGGGUGAGUAAUGUCUGGGAAACUGCCUGAUGGAGGGGGAUAACUACUGGAAACGGUAGCUAAUACCGCAUACCAUCGGAGGUGCCCAGAUGGGAUUAGCUAGUAGGUGGGGUAAAGGCUCACCUAGGCGACGAUCCCUAGCUGGUCUGAGAGGAUGACCAACCACACUGGAACUGGGACACGGUCCAGAGUCCUACGGGAGGCAGCAGUGUGGAAUAUGGCACAAUGGGCGCAAGCCUGAUGCAGCCAUGCCGCGUGUAUGAAGAAGGCCUUCGGGUUGUAAAGUACUUUCAGCGGGGAGGCGUUACCCGCAGAAGAAGCACCGGCUAACUCCGUGCCAGCAGCCGCGGUAAUAC
rnacentral:rRNA from 1 species